AUUGGCGGCCAAAGCGGAAGGGCACACCCGUUCCCAUUUCGAACACGGAAGUUAAGCCUUCCUGCGGUCUGGAGAGUACUUCCUCCGGGAGGGAAAUCCAGAUUGCUGCCAACC
rnacentral:rRNA from 1 species